UGGGGUUCUUCAGACUGUCUAAGGGGUCUGCAAAAGAUCACUUUGAUGAAUCAGAAGUAUGCGAAUACCCACACUUACAAUUCAAAGGGCAAUGGUAGGUUUGUAAGGGAGA